rnacentral:rRNA from 1 species
CAGUAGCCACGGUAAUACGUAGGUGGCAAGCGUUGUCCGGAAUUAUUGGGCGUGAAGGGCUCGCAGGCGGUUUCCUAAGUCUGAUGUGAAAGCCCCCGGCUCAACCGGGGAGGGUCAUUGGAAACUGGGAAACUUGAGUGCAGAAGAGGAGAGUGGAAUUCCACGUGUAGCGGUGAAAUGUGUAGAGAUGUGGAGGAACACCAGUGGCGAGGGCGACUCUCUGGUCUGUAACUGACGCUGAGGAGCGAAAGCGUGGGGAGCGAACAGGAUUAGAUACCCCGGUAGUCCCUGUCUCUUAUAC